GAUGAACGCUGGCGGCGUGCCUAAUACAUGCAAGUCGAGCGAACAGACGAGGAGCUUGCUCCUCUGACGUUAGCGGCGGACGGGUGAGUAACACGUGGGUAACCUACCUAUAAAACUGGGAUAACUUCGGGAAACCGGAGCUAAUACCGGAUAAUAUAUUUAACCGCAUGGUUCCAUAAUUAAAUACGGUUUUGCUGUCACUUAUAGAUGGAUCCGCGCCGACUUAGCUAGUUGGUAAGGUAACGGCUUACCAAGGCAACGAUGCGUAGCCGACCUGAGAGGGUGAUCGGCCACACUGGAACUGAGACACGGUCCAGACUCCUACGGGAGGCAGCAGUAGGGAAUCUUCCGCAAUGGGCGAAAGCUUGACGGAGCAACGCCGCGUGAGUGAUGAAGGUCUUCGGAUCGUAAAACUCUGUUAUUAGGGAAGAACAAAUGUGUAAGUAACUAUGCACGUCUUGACGGUACCUAAUCAGAAAGCCACGGCUAACUACGUG
rnacentral:rRNA from 1 species